CCUACGGGAGGCAGCAGUGAGGAAUAUUGGUCAAUGGGCGAGAGGCUGAACCAGCCAAGUAGCGUGAAGGAAGACUGCCCUACGGGUUGUAAACUUCUUUUAUAAAGGAAUAAAGUGAGGCACGUGUGCCUUUUUGUAUGUACUUUAUGAAUAAGGAUCGGCUAACUCCGUGCCAGCAGCCGCGGUAAUACGGAGGAUCCGAGCGUUAGCCGGAUUUAUUGGGUUUAAAGGGAGCGUAGAUGGGUUGUUAAGUCAGUUGUGAAAGUUUGCGGCUCAACCGUAAAAUUGCAAUUGAUACUGGCAGCCUUGAGUACAGUUGAGGUAGGCGGAAUUCGUGGUGUAGCGGUGAAAUGCUUAGAUAUCACGAAGAACCCCGAUUGCGAAGGCAGCUUACUAAACUGUGACUGACAUUGAUGCUCGAAAGUGUGGGUAUCAAACAGGAUUAGAUACCCCUGUAGUC
rnacentral:rRNA from 1 species